rnacentral:rRNA from 1 species
UAGGGAAUAUUGGACAAUGGGCGAAAGCCUGAUCCAGCCAUGCCGCGUGAACGAUGAAGGCCUUCGGGUCGUAAAGUUCUUUUUUAAGGGAAGAACAACCCGGGUAGGAAAUGAUCCGGGCCUGACGGUACCUUAAGAAUAAGCAACGGCUAACUCCGUGCCAGCAGCCGCGGUAAUACGGAGGUUGCAAGCGUUGUUCGGAAUUACUGGGCGUAAAGGGAGCGCAGGCGGUCUGGCUAGUCUAAAGUGAAAGUCCAGGGCUCAACCCUGGAAGUGCUUUGGAUACUGCCAGACUUGAGUACGCGAGAGGUGAGUGGAAUUUCAGGUGUAGCGGUGAAAUGCGUAGAUAUCUGAAGGAACAUCGGUGGCGAAAGCGACUCACUGGCGCGAUACUGACGCUGAGGCUCGAAAGCGUGGGGAGCGAACGGGAUUAGAUACCCCGGUAGUCCACGCCGUAAACGUUGUGCACUAGGUGUGGGAGGUAUCGACCCCUUCCGUGCCGCAGCUAACGCAUUAAGUGCACCGCCUGGGGAGUACGAUCGCAAGAUUG